ACUGGACUAAAUGAGUCACUGGUGGAGCUUGCAGUGGUGGUGGGGAUACUCUUCUGGACUACAUUUCCAGUCCAAAAGCAGAUUCCUGGGUUUGAAUUCCCCACUCGCCAUGGAAGCCCACUAGAUCACCUUGGGAAAGUCAGACUCUCUUAUCCUCAGAGGAAGGUAAACACAACCUUCCUCGGAGCAAAUCUUGUCAAGAUAUGGUUACAACAAGAAUAUUACAAGGAGAUGCCAUAUCUGCUUAGCAACAACGAAUCUACGAUUGCAUGAAAAAUCCAAAGUACAUUGAAAAGACAAAUGAAUGGGUCCUAGAAGAAAUCACACCUAAACUCUUACGAGAAGCCAAGGUAGCUAAAUUGAAGCUGUCAUACUUUAGACAUAUCAUGAGAUAAUGCUUAAUACUCUAGAAGUCAAGAGGAAAAGAGGAAGAGCUCAAUAUAGGUGGAUGAGUUUAGUCAAAGACAUCACAAUGCCGAUUCGUGAGACUUGAAUAGGGGAGAGUAACCAUUAGUCAAAGUCAAAUGGCAAAUAACAAAAACAAGGUGAUAGCAAUACUGUCAAGACUAUGAGUCCCUACACAAGCCUGGCUAAGUUUUAAGAUUUUUCUUAAAUCUUGGAGGACUUUCCUCCAAACCAAUGACCAUCUCAGGAAUAUUUGGUGAGGUGUGGACAUAGGAAGCAGAUUUCUGGGUAUAUAUUUUCUGUACCUGUAAAGCUGAUUUUACUUAAACCCUUACACAUAUGUUCUUUUCAAUUGGUUUAAACAAUUUUAAU